AUAAUUUAUCUUGGACUUCAAUAUUUUAACAAUAUCCUCUCAUGACAUAAUACCAAUUUAAAUCAAACAUUUCAGCAUUACCAAAAAAAUGAAUAAUAAUUAAUCAAGAAACAUCCAAAAAUCACAGCUAAACUAACAGCAGUUUCUCUUCUCUCAGUCUCAGAUUCCCCUUCAAUGGCCUUCACGUGAUAGUGCUCACCCCCCCCCC
rnacentral:lncRNA from 1 species